rnacentral:rRNA from 1 species
GCUGGCGGCGUGGAUUAGGCAUGCAAGUCGAACGGUUCUUCUUUUUUUUUCAGAAGAAUAGUGGCGAAGGGGUGAGUAACACGUGAGUAACCUGCCCUAGAGCUCGGGAUAACUCGCCGAAAGGCAAGCUAAUACCGGAUACUUCUUAUGUUUCUUAUGAAAUAUAAGCGAAGGGCGGGCACCCCUUCGGGGGCCUGUCUCUCUUGGAUGGGCUCGCGGCCUAUCAGCUAGUUGGUGAGGUAAUGGCUCACCAAGGCUAAGACGGGUAGCUGGUCAAAAAAGAUGGUCACCCACGCUGGGACUGACACACUGCCCACACUCCUACGGGAGGCUGCAGUCAAUAAUCUUUCGCAAUGGGGGAAACCCUGACAAACCCACCCCGCGUGCAAGAUUAAGGCCUUCGGGUUGUAAACUGCUGUCGGCUAGAAAAAAAUCUUUUUAGUGAACAACUAAAAAGUUUGACCGUACCAGCAAAGGAAGCCACGGCUAACUCUGUGCCAGCAGCCGCGGUAAUACAGAGGUGGCAAGCGUUGUUCUUAUUUAUUGGGCGUAAAGGGUUCGUACGCGGCUCAGAAAGUUGGGUGUGAAAUCCCACGGCUUAACCGUGGAACUGCACUCAAAACUCCUGAGCUAGAGGGCGAGAGGGGUAGAGGGUACUUCCCGG